GAACUCUCUCUCUCUCUCUCUCUCUCUCUAC
rnacentral:sRNA from 1 species